rnacentral:rRNA from 1 species
CCAAUAGCGUAUAUUAAAGUUGUUGCAGUUAAAAAGCUCGUAGUUGAAUUUCGGGGUCAGCAGGUUGGUCGUGCCACUGGUAUGCACUGGCCUUGCUGAUUCCUCCCUCUUGAUGAGCCGUAAUGUCAUUAAUUUGGUGUUGCGGGGAAUCAGGACUGUUACUUUGAAAAAAUUAGAGUGUUUAAAGCAAGCAAGCGCUUGAAUACAUUAGCAUGGAAUAAUGAAAUAGGACGUUUGAUCCUAUUUUGUUGGUUUCUAGGAUUGACGUAAUGAUUAAUAGGGAUAGUUGGGGGCAUUAGUAUUCAAUUGUCAGAGGUGAAAUUCUUGGAUUUAUUGAAGACUGACUACUGCGAAAGCAUUUGCCAAGGAUGUUUUCAUUAAUCAAGAACGAAAGUUAGGGGAUCGAAGACGAUCAGAUACCGUCGUAGUCUUAACCAUAAACUAUGCCGACUAGGGAUCGGAUGAUGUUAAUUUUUUAAUGACUCAUUCGGCGCCUUACG